UACAGAGGUCCCAAGCGUUGUUCGGAUUCACUGGGCGUAAAGGGUGCGCAGGUGGGUUUGCAAGUUCGAUGUGAAAGCCCCGGGCUUAACCCGGGAAUGGCAUUGGAUACUGCAGAUCUGGAGGAUCGGAGGGGGGACUGGAAUUCUUGGUGUAGCAGUGAAAUGCGUAGAUAUCAAGAGGAACACCAGUGGCGAAGGCGAGUCCCUGGACGAUACCUGACACUGAGUCACGAAAGCUAGGGGAGCAAACAGG
rnacentral:rRNA from 1 species